CCUACGGGGCGCUGCAGUGGGGAAUAUUGCACAAUGGGGGAAACCCUGAUGCAGCGACGCCGCGUGAGUGAAGAAGUAAUUCGUUACGUAAAGCUCUAUCAGCAGGGAAGAAACACUGACCUUACGGUCAGCAGACGGUACCUGAGUAAGAAGCCCCGGCUAACUACGUGCCAGCAGCCGCGGUAAUACGUAGGGGGCAAGCGUUAUCCGGAUUUACUGGGUGUAAAGGGAGCGUAGACGGUGCGGCAAGUCUGGAGUGAAAUGCCGCAGCUUAACUGCGGAACUGCUUUGGAAACUGGCGAACGAGAGGGCGGGAGGGGUAAGCGGAAUUCCUAGUGUAGCGGGGAAAUGCGGAGAUAUUAGGAGGAACACCGGUGGCGAAGGCGGCUUACUGGACCGUAACUGACGUUGAGGCUCGAAAGCGUGGGGAGCAAACAGGAUUAGAUACCCGUGUAGUC
rnacentral:rRNA from 1 species